AUCCGGUUGAGGAGUCCCGAAUAGAACGAAACGCGCAUCCUGUAU
rnacentral:hammerhead_ribozyme from 1 species